GGAGGAAGAAUCUGGGCCCAAGCCAUGCGAGGCAGGAAGUGCAGGCCCGGGGGCCUGCCUGGCCUGGCUAAGAAGGAGGAGUGCCUAAGGAGCAGGGGCCAAGGGCGUCCACAACUGCAGUCCUGACUCACCCUCCCUGGCCCCACCUCUUCCUCCAGACCCUAAACCGCUUGGAUUCUUAAGUGGUUGGGACUCAGCACCGUCCACUCGUCUCUGCAGACUCAGCUCUGGGCCGAGGGCUGGGGGCUGCAGAGGCGGUUAGGGAUGAAGACCAGGACUCAGCUCAGCUAAGACCAAGGUGUUUCCAAGGACUGGAGAUGAGAGGGCGGGGUCUUACCAAACAGAAAGGGACGUUUCACCAAGUGGCUCCCAUAAAAGCAGGCGGGCAACUGAGUGGAGUCACUGGGCACAGAGGACAUCAGGCUCCACAUUCACGGCCCCAUCGCCACCACCACACCGCCUCUGUCAGCACUGCAACCAGCACCACACUCACCAGCAUCCCUGUCUGCAUCACAGUCAACCUUUGAAAUGUGGCUCAUUGGCCCUCAAUGCUCUUGAGAACUUCCCCUCGACUGACGCCACCUCAUUCCUGUCAGCUGCCGCUGGGCCCAGCCUCCUGCUCCCAGUCCAGCAGCCUCUGGCUUCCUCGAGCACAGUCUACAUGUAACACAUGCUCCCACCUCUCACCCCACCCCUGUCAGGGCCCCUGGACACAGAUCCUCAGACCCCAGAGGGACUCAGGAGAGGGUCAGGUGAUGUGGAUCCCCAGGGUCCAUACCAAACAGACAUGGCCUUAGCAUUGACCUUUCUGAAGCCUCUCCAUCCCUCAAAUCUGGAUUUACCUGUCACCUGGACCAAGGAAUGUCCCGUGGAGAACAUCCAGAUAACUGGCUCAGGACCCCAGUGGUCUGGACCUUUCCCAGUUGGCUCCUGGACUAAUGGACCAGCCUUCUAGAAUGGCCUCUACAGUUGGCCACACAGCACCCUGAGCGUUUGCUCUCUACCACUUGUGAUCAUAGACCUUGUUGAGAACUGAGUGAGACCACUGGACCCUCGCCCUGUCAAAGGCCAUAGGCUUACACAAGUUGAAGCACCAUCGUGUGUUCCCAGAAGACUCCUGCCUCCCAGGACCAGCACGGAGAAGCCACAACUCUGACCAAGGCCACAGCUUGAAUUCUUUCCGUGCCACUUUCUCAUCUCCAGAAUGAAGUUUUAACUCCUCAGCUGCAGACACAGGCCCUUCAACACUCAGCCUUACCCUAAAGGAUCUGGGCUCUUGGACAGCCAGAGUCUUGGUCUCUAUCUCUACUGCUCAGCACAGCUUUCCAGUCUUAGCCACUGGGGGCAGUUCAACGCUCCACUCAGAUGACAUCCUUUCCCUGCCCUGGGGUGGCCCAUCUCUGAUAUGCUCCUAAGAGUAAAAAUAACCGUGGUUUCUGGAUCCACUUUUCCCCCAACACUGGGAACUAUGGGAGGUCAGGAGUCAUAAGUAACUCACUGCUAUAUCUUCAGAACCUGCUCUAGGGCUGCUGUGUAGACUCUCUCAAUAAACAUGUGCUGGACACAACAUCCCCUCACCAUCUAUCUGUUCCUCAUUCCCCCUGAAUUUUGCUUGGUAGCCUAUAGGGUUCCAAGGAGCAGCUUUAACCCCAGACUCCAAAGGAAUAGAGUCAGCUUUAGACAGAAGCCAGCUCUGACAAGGGCAGAGCAGAGAGAGAAUGCAAAGUCUUGGUGACCUAACUGAGGAGCUGGAUCAGCCCUUGCCUGAAGCCAAUCCUGAAAGUUUCAUUUCUAUAAAGCCAUUAUAGUCCUUUUACUAGUUUAAGUAAUGGUUUCUAUUACCUGCAACUCAAAGCAGCAAGAAAAAGC
ensembl:lncRNA